rnacentral:rRNA from 1 species
GACGAACGCUGGCGGCGUGCUUAACACAUGCAAGUCGAACGGAAAGGCCCUGCUUUUGUGGGGUGCCCGAGUGGCGAACGGGUGAGUAACACGUGAGUAACCUGCCCUUGACUUUGGGAUAACUUCAGGAAACUGGGGCUAAUACCGGAUAGGAGCUCCUGCUGCAUGGUGGGGGUUGGAAAGUUUCGGCGGUUGGGGAUGGACUCGCGGCUUAUCAGCUUGUUGGUGGGGUAGUGGCUUACCAAGGCUUUGACGGGUAGCCGGCCUGAGAGGGUGACCGGCCACAUUGGGACUGAGAUACGGCCCAGACUCCUACGGGAGGCAGCAGUGGGGAAUAUUGCACAAUGGGCGGAAGCCUGAUGCAGCAACGCCGCGUGCGGGAUGACGGCCUUCGGGUUGUAAACCGCUUUCGCCUGUGACGAAGCGUGAGUGACGGUAAUGGGUAAAGAAGCACCGGCUAAAUACGUG